rnacentral:tRNA from 1 species
GCCCACGUAGCUCAGUUGGCAGAGCAUUGGGCUGGUAUUCCAAAGGUUGUAGGUUCGAUUCCCACCAUGGCCA